rnacentral:misc_RNA from 1 species
GAUGAAGAACGCAGCGAAAUGCGAUAAGUAAUGUGAAUUGCAGAAUUCAGUGAAUCAUCGAAUCUUUGAACGCACAUUGCGCCCUCUGGUAUUCCGGAGGGCAUGCCUGUUCGAGCGUCAUUUCGACCCUCAAGCAUUGCUUGGUGUUGGGGCACCGCCUGUAAAAGGGCGGGCCCUGAAAUCUAGUGGCGAGCUCGCCAGGACCCCGAGCGUAGUAAUUAUAUUUCGUUCUGGAAGGCCCUGGCGGUGCCCUGCCGUUAAACCCCCAACUUCUGAAAAUUUGACCUCGGAUCAGGUAGGAAUACCCGCUGAACUUAAGCAUAUCAAUAGCGGAGGA